rnacentral:rRNA from 1 species
AUUGAACGCUGGCGGCAUGCCUUACACAUGCAAGUCGAACGGCAGCACGGGAGCAAUCCUGGUGGCGAGUGGCGAACGGGUGAGUAAUAUAUCGGAACGUGCCCGGUCGUGGGGGAUAACGUAGCGAAAGCUACGCUAAUACCGCAUACGAUCUACGGAUGAAAGCGGGGGAUCGCAAGACCUCGCGCGAUUGGAGCGGCCGAUACCAGAUUAGGUAGUUGGUGAGGUAAAGGGCUCACCAAGCCGACGAUCUGUAGCUGGUCUGAGAGGACGACCAGCCACACUGGGACUGAGACACGGCCCAGACUCCUACGGGAGGCAGCAGUGGGGAAUUUUGGACAAUGGGCGCAAGCCUGAUCCAGCAAUGCCGCGUGCAGGAUGAAGGCC